rnacentral:lncRNA from 1 species
ACAACCACAACCACAACAACAACAACAACAACAACAACCACAACAACCACAACAACCACAACAACCACAACAACAACAACACAACAACCACAACCACAACCACAACAACAACAACAACCACAACAACAACCACAACAACAACCACAACCACAACAACAACCACAACAACAACCACAACAACAACAACAACCACAACAACAACCACAACAACAACAACCACAACAACAACAACCACAACAACAACAACAACCACAACAACCACAACAACAACACAACAAC